rnacentral:rRNA from 1 species
GACGAACGCUGGCGGCGUGCUUAACACAUGCAAGUCGAACGGAAAGGCCCUGCUUUUGUGGGGUGCUCGAGUGGCGAACGGGUGAGUAACACGUGAGUAACCUGCCCUUGACUUUGGGAUAACUUCAGGAAACUGGGGCUAAUACCGGAUAGGAGCUCCUGAUGCAUGGUGGGGGUUGGAAAGUUUCGGCGGUUGGGGCUGGACUCGCGGCUUAUGAGCUUGUUGGUGGGGUAGUGGCUUACCAAGGCUUUGACGGGUAGCCGGCCUGGGAGGGUGACCGGGCACAAUGGGACUGCGGGAGGGACCAGUAUCCUACGGGAGGCAAUGGGGGGGAAUAUUGCACAGUGGGGCGGAGCGAGUGGCGGCGACCCCGCGAUCGGGAAGAUGGGCUUCUGGUUGAGAACCGCUUUCUACUUAGACGUAGCGUGCGUGACGGUAAUGAGUAAGGAAGCACCGGCUAACUACGUG